rfam:Helianthus annuus linkage group 3, whole genome shotgun sequence.
GUUUGUCUGGGAACAUCCGAUAAAAUUGGAACGAUACGAAAAAGAUUAACAUGGCCCCGCAUAAGAUGACACGUACAAAAGUGGUAAGAGUUUAAACUUUAU